rnacentral:rRNA from 1 species
UACGUAGGGUGCAAGCGUUAAUCGGAAUUACUGGGCGUAAAGCGUGCGCAGGCGGUUAUGUAAGACAGUUGUGAAAUCCCCGGGCUCAACCUGGGAACUGCAUCUGUGACUGCAUAGCUAGAGUACGGUAGAGGGGGGAUGGAAUUCCGCGUGUAGCAGUGAAAUGCGUAGAUAUGCGGAGGAACACCGAUGGCGAAGGCAAUCCCCUGGGCCUGCACUGACGCUCAUGCACGAAAGCGUGGGGAGCAAACAGG